GAUGAACGCUGGCGGCGUGCUUAACACAUGCAAGUCGAGCGAACGGACGAUAAGCUUGCUUUUCUGAUGUUUGCCGCGCACGGGUGUGUCACACGUGUAAAACCCACCUAUCAGACUGGUAUAAUUUCGGGAAACCGGAUCUUAUACCGUAUAAGAUUCUGAACCACAUGGUUCAAUGGUGAAAGACGGUGUUGCUGGCACUUAUCGAGGGUUAUGCGCUGCAUGAGCUAGUUGGUACGUUAACAGCCUAUCAAGGCGAGGAUGCCUAGCCGACUGGAGAGGGUGGUCGGCCACACUGGAAGGGAGACACGGUCCAGGGGCCUGCGGGAGGGACCAGUAGGGAAUCGGGCGCAAUGGGCGGGAACCUGACGGAGCGGGGCCAAGUGUGUGAUGAAGGUCUUCGGAUCGUAAAACUCUGUUAUUAGGGAUGAACAUAUGUGUAAGUAGCUGAGCACAUAUUGACGGUACCUAAUCAAGAAGCCACGGCUAACUACGUG
rnacentral:rRNA from 1 species